GCCCUGAUGGUCUAGCGGUAUGAUUCUCCCUUAGGGUUGUCUCUGACAAUUCAGGUCUGGGAGAGGUCCCAGGUUCGAUCCCUGGUUAGGGCC